rnacentral:rRNA from 3 species
CAAGGAAUUUUCCGCAAUGGGGGAAACCCUGACGGAGCAACGCCGCGUGAGUGAUGAAGCCUUUCGGGGUGUAAAACUCUUUUCUGAGGGAAGAAGAUCUGACGGUACCUCAGGAAUAAGCAUCGGCUAACUACGUGCCAGCAGCCGCGGUAAUACGUAGGAUGCAAGCGUUGUCCGGAAUUACUGGGCGUAAAGAGCGCGCAGGCGGCACUUUAAGUAGGGCGUGAAAUCUCUCGGCUUAACUGAGAGGGGUCGUUCUAAACUGGAGAGCUAACGAGGGCAGGAGAGGAAAGUGGAAUUCCCGGUGUAGUGGUGAAAUGCGUAGAUAUCGGGAGGAACACCUGUGGCGAAGGCGACUUUCUGGCCUGUUCCUGACGCUGAGGCGCGAAGGCUAGGGGAGCGAACGGG